rnacentral:misc_RNA from 1 species
CUGGGAUACCUCCACAAAGGUUAUCAUUUCCGGAAAGUGAAACUAUAGUUGCGUUUUGGAAGAUUCCGUUAGUUGGAACUUCUCCAGAAAGUUCAUUGAAAGAAAGAUUCAAGAUGGUUGCUGAAGAAAGCUCUCCAAGAAAGGCAGGUACAUGGCCUGAAAUGUUAUUGUGAGAUAGAUCAAUAUAUUCUAGACCUCGCACAGUUGCCAAGGACCUGGAAAGCUCUCCACUAAAGAAGUUGCCUUUCAGGUCAAGAUAUACCAAUUUUACGCAAUUACCAAGGCUACUAGGAAUGUCGCUUGACAAGUUAUUGUUGGAAACAUCCAAAACCUCAAGAUUUAUUGAAGAAUAUAAGUUAUCCAGAAAAGUUAUAAAAACAGAGUAGAACAGAGGAGGCGGGAGAUUUAUUUUACAAGUCUGUUAGUUAGCUAAAGUUUGUUAAA